AAGCGGUGGAUGAUGUGGAUUAAUUCGAUGCAACGCGAAAACCUUACUACCCUUGACAUGUCUGGAACCUUGCUGAGAGGCGAGGGUGCCUUCGGGAGCCAGAACACAGGUGCUGCAUGGCUGUCGUCAGCUCGUGUCGUGAGAUGUUGGGUUAAGUCCCGCAACGAGCGCAACCCUUGUCAUUAGUUGCCAUCAUUUAGUUGGGCACUCUAAUGAGACUGCCGGUGACAAACCGGAGGAAGGUGGGGAUGACGUCAAGUCCUCAUGGCCCUUAUAGGUGGGGCUACACACGUCAUACAAUGGCUGGUACAAAGGGUUGCCAACCCGCGAGGGGGAGCCAAUCCCAUAAAGCCAGUCGUAGUCCGGAUCGUAGUCUGCAACUCGACUACGUGAAGUCGGAAUCGCUAGUAAUCGCAGGUCAGCAUACUGCGGUCGAAUACGUUCCCGGGCCUU
rnacentral:rRNA from 1 species